CUCCUUCCCCCAUCCCCCUCACGUCGCCUGCUCUUGCUCCUGUCCUUUUGCUUGCCUUGCCUGCCUCUGCUUGCGUGCGCCGUUGCCCCGUGUGGUUGCGUAGACGGGCCGGGUGCACUCCCGCCAGAUAUUCGGCAGUAUGCCGCCGCGGCGUGCCUCUUUGCUCGGCUGUUGGGUGGGAGGUAAAUCGGUUCGGAGGACAAUUUGCGGUGGCUCGAUCCCGUCACGAGAUCGUGCGGUAGCUGCAGAUUCGCCGAUAGAGCGAGCGGUAGUGACAAGCGAGCUGGUAGCUGUACUGCUGUAGAUUGGGAGCUCGGAUUUCUUUACGCUCCUCCGCCGGCCAAACUGAUUGUGCGUUCGAUUUGCUGCGGACACAAAAUUUUCACCCAAUUUCAUCGUUGCGCGUGGGUUCCACGCAUGUGGGCGUAGACUGUGCCUGCAGUUUCGUGUAGCUGAUGCACUUGCCAAAUUCGCGAACCUGCCAUUUUGGUGCGGUCCUCUUCCACCAGAAUUGUUUCAGCAGCGUACACCAGAAUUGCGUCUUCGGAGGAUGGGGGAUUU